rnacentral:lncRNA from 1 species
CUCAGCUGGUGACCUAGGGUAGGACAGCAACUAACUAGUCUCCUCACCUGUCCCCAACUUCCUAGGUGUGAGGCCUGCGGCUGCCCCUCGUGGCCCUGGGACCGUGUGGACUCGCCCGGAUGCUGGGCUUUCCCCUGGGAAAUGGCUCCUCAGCCAGGGUGAUGGGACUGCUGCCCAGGAGGACAGGGGCCCUGGGAAGGCGCCUGCCACUCUCCUUGCUGUGAGGUGACCACUUCCAAGGGCCUCCUGGACAGCCAGCUGCUGGCGAGGGCUUUCCUGGGCAUAUGUUGUGAGUCUGCCCCAGCCUCAGGUUGGAAGUGGGACCUUCCUUCAAGCAGGCAGGACACUCAGGGUAGCACUGCCCACUGGUGGCCCUGUGCAGUCAGGGAUGUGGUAGAAAACAGACUCUCCCAGGGUGUUGGGACUAAGCACCUAAGAGAAACGACACCAAAAGAAAGCCAAGGACCCUCGCUUCCCAGGCUCCCCAUGAGGUUGGCCUUGGAGUCCCUGGAGCUGCUGCUGUGCCCUGAUGGGCCCCCCAGUUCCCCAAGCAGCCUUCCUGCUGAAGUGCUGAGGAGUUUGCUGUCACCCUGACCUUCCAUUAGUGUUCCCCAUACAAUCCCAUAACUAAGGUAACCUGCAAAGAUAACUGAGUUCCCUGUAGUUUGAAGUGGCCAAAGGAUGCAAAGAGCAGCACAUGGUAUGGAUCAAAUAGAUAGUAGCCGAUUCUAUUAGGUAAAGAAAAUGUCAACUUAAAGAGAAUGACUACUGGAGACAUUAGGGUGCCCUCUCUCAUCCACUCUUCCUCUUCUACAGUAGCACCCCCUAGUGUUUGGCUGCAGUUGGUUCAAAGGUAACAGAUGCCAUAAGGUGUACAGUCAGUGAGGUUGGGGACUUCUGUUUAGUUAAAGAUAACAUUUCUUUCAUUUGAUGUGAUUAAACAAACACAGAAGCUCGGAUUGCUGCUGUCAGAAUUUGCCACUACAGUAGAAGGCAGGCUGAGAACAAAUUGCUAAGAGGAAAAAGGAAGGACCAAGACCACCACGGAGGAGUCCAGGUCCACUGACGAUCAGUGAGUCUAAUUCAUUUUGGUAAGUGAGUCAGUUAGCAUUGGGAUUUGCUGUUUCAUGUAAUAGUGUAAAUAACUGGGAAAGAACAGUUUUACACUUUGAAAAAAAAUGAUCUCUUAACAGUGAGACUAAGAAGAUGCUUAUAAAGCUGCACAUUGUACACCUUCCCUAUAGAACUAGGAAAAAAAUCUCAAUUAUUUAGAAAAUUAACUCCUAAAAGCCACCAAAAUUUUUAAAUAUUUUUAUAACAGAAAGUACUAUAAAAGAAGAGUGGAUAAAUGUUUUGGCAGACUGUAUUCAAAGCCUAAGAUGGAAAGUGAAAUUUCUCCUAUCUUAUCUCUACCUGUAAGUUGCCCUUCAUUUAGCAAGAAACCCGUGGACACUUAAUUGAAUCUAUUAAGUAAUUCAUGUAGAAAAAUACCAAAGGACCAGAACUGAAGGGCACUAGUGAUUUCUUUCCAGGUUUUGAGAAAUGUUAGAACUGAAACAUCAGAGAUGUGUUUUUUCUAUUAAUAAAAAGGAUGUUCUGUCAUUUUUCUCUUCCAGUGUGGUAUCUGGGUAUUGUUUUUAUGUCAUGUCUCUUCAGGUUUCUUUAUUUGGAACAUUUCUUCAGUCUUUCUUGGUCUUUUAUAUAAUUAAUAUCAAAAGUUUAGUCCUCCCUUUUUUUUUUCAAUUGUCCUACAGUAAAAUGGACAUUCCUUUUGGCUUAUAGUUCUUUGGGUUUCAAUAUACAUUGAGACUCAUGAAACCAGCACCACAAUAUGGUUACAGAAAAAGUUCUGUUAGCCCUCAAAUUCCUCCAUUACUACUCUGCUAUAGCCACACACCUGUCCCAUGCCUAAUCUUAGCAUGCAUGAUCUCUUCUUCAUCACUAUAGUUUGGAACUCUUGGGAACCUCAUAUAAAUGGACACAGACUUCUUCUCUUACACCUCCCUCACCCUGCCUUAUUGUGUAUUAGUAUCCAAAUAUCAAUUUGAGACUGGAUUUUUUCCUUGACAUAAUGCCUUUAAGAUCCAUCCAAACUGUUGCCUUUAUCAAUAAUUUUUUUUCUUAUUGCUGAGUAGUUAGUAUUUAUUGUAUGGAUUAUCACAAUUGGUUCAUUCAACAAUAGUAAGACUUUUGGGUUUGUUUCUAGUUUGGGGUGAUUAUGAAGAGAUCCGGCUAAGCAUUCAUGUACAAGUUUUUGUGUGAAGAUAAGUUCUGAAUUCUGUAGGAUAAAUAGCUAAGGGUAAGAUUUGCUGGAUUCUACGGUGGGUAUAUGUUUGACUGUUGAAGAAACUGCCAAACUGUUCAUCCUUGUCAUUACCCAUGAUGCAACUGGGAGGAGAUGAUCUCUUCCUGGGGAGAGUUGCAUUUAAUUAACCAUUGCCUGAGUAGGAUGUACAUACUAGGAGAUGAAGGAGGCAAUCAACAGCCUAUUUGAGUUUAUUUUUAAAAAAAAAUAUUUGUUCUUUUUAGAUAUACAUGAUAGUAGAAUGUAUUUUGACAUGUUACACGUACAUGGAAUAUAACUUAUUCUAAGUUGGAUCCAAUUCUUAUGGUUGAACAUGAUGUGGAGGUACACUGGUCAUGUAUUCACAUUUGAACAUAGGAAAAUUAUGUCUAAUUCCUUCUACUAUCUUUCGUAUACCCAUUCACCCUUCCUUCUCUUCAUUCCCCUCUGUUUAAUCCAAUGAACUUCUUUUCUUACAUCUCCCCCACCCCACCUUAUUGUGUGUUAGCAUCCAAAUAUCACAAAGAGCAUUCUGUCUUUGGUUUUUGGGAUUGGCUUAUUUUGCUCAGCAUGAUAGUCUCCAGUUUCAUCCAUUUUUUGGCAAAGGCCAUAAUUUUAUUCUUCUGUAUGGCUGAUUAGUAUUCCAUUGUUUAUAUAUACCACACUUUCUUUAUCCAUUCAUCUGUUGAAGGGUACCUAGGUUGGUUCCAUAACUUAGCUACUGUGAAUUGAGCUGUUAUAAACACUGAUGUGGCUGUAAUAUGUUUAAGUCCUUUGGAUAUACACUAAGGAGUGAGAUAAUUGGGUCAAAUGGUGAUUCAAUUCCAAGUUUUCUGGAGAAUCUCCAUACUACUUUCCAUAGUGAUUGCACCAAUUUNUUAUAAAGCUGCACAUUGUACACCUUCCCUAUAGAACUAGGAAAAAAAUCUCAAUUAUUUAGAAAAUUAACUCCUAAAAGCCACCAAAAUUUUUUAAUAUUUUUAUAACAGAAAGUACUAUAAAAGAAGAGUGGAUAAAUGUUUUGGCAGACUGUAUUCAAAGCCUAAGAUGGAAAGUGAAAUUUCUCCUAUCUUAUCUCUACCUGUAAGUUGCCCUUCAUUUAGCAAGAAACCCGUGGACACUUAAUUGAAUCUAUUAAGUAAUUCAUGUAGAAAAAUACCAAAGGACCAGAACUGAAGGGCACUAGUGAUUUCUUUCCAGGUUUUGAGAAAUGUUAGAACUGAAACAUCAGAGAUGUGUUUUUUCUAUUAAUAAAAAGGAUGUUCUGUCAUUUUUCUCUUCCAGUGUGGUAUCUGGGUAUUGUUUUUAUGUCAUGUCUCUUCAGGUUUCUUUAUUUGGAACAUUUUUUCAGUCUUUCUUGGUCUUUUAUAUAAUUAAUAUCAAAAGUUUAGUCCUCCCUUUUUUUUUCAAUUGUCCUACAGUAAAAUGGACAUUCCUUUUGGCUUAUAGUUCUUUGGGUUUCAAUAUACAUUGAGACUCAUGAAACCAGCACCACAAUAUGGUUACAGAAAAAGUUCUGUUAGCCCUCAAAUUCCUCCAUUACUACUCUGCUAUAGCCACACACCUGUCCCAUGCCUAAUCUUAGCAUGCAUGAUCUCUUCUUCAUCACUAUAGUUUGGAACUCUUGGGAACCUCAUAUAAAUGGACACAGACUUCUUCUCUUACACCUCCCUCACCCUGCCUUAUUGUGUAUUAGUAUCCAAAUAUCAAUUUGAGACUGGAUUUUUUCCUUGACAUAAUGCCUUUAAGAUCCAUCCAAACUGUUGCCUUUACCAGUAAUUUUUUUUUCUUAUUGCUGAGUAGUUAGUAUUUAUUGUAUGGAUUAUCACAAUUGGUUCAUUCAACAAUAGUAAGACUUUUGGGUUUGUUUCUAGUUUGGGAUGAUUAUGAAGAGAUCCGGCUAAGCAUUCAUGUACAAGUUUUUGUGUGAAGAUAAGUUCUGAAUUCUGUAGGAUAAAUAGCUAAGGGUAAGAUUUGCUGGAUUCUACAGUGGGUAUAUGUUUGACUGUUGAAGAAACUGCCAAACUGUUCAUCCUUGUCAUUACCCAUGAUGCAACUGGGAGGAGAUGAUCUCUUCCUGGGGAGAGUUGCAUUUAAUUAACCAUUGCCUGAGUAGGAUGUACAGACUAGGAGAUGAAGGAGGCAAUCAACAGCCUAUUUGAGUUUAUUUUUAAAAAAAUAUUUGUUCUUUUUAGAUAUACAUGAUAGUAGAAUGUAUUUUGACAUGUUACACGUACAUGGAAUAUAACUUAUUCUAAGUUGGAUCCAAUUCUUAUGGUUGAACAUGAUGUGGAGGUACACUGGUCAUGUAUUCACAUUUGAACAUAGGAAAAUUAUGUCUAAUUCCUUCUACUAUCUUUCGUAUACCCAUUCACCCUUCCUUCUCUUCAUUCCCCUCUGUUUAAUCCAAUGAACUUCUUUUCUUACAUCUCCCCCACCCCACCUUAUUGUGUGUUAGCAUCCAAAUAUCACAAAGAGCAUUCUGUCUUUGGUUUUUGGGAUUGGCUUAUUUUGCUCAGCAUGAUAGUCUCCAGUUUCAUCCAUUUUUUGGCAAAGGCCAUAAUUUUAUUCUUCUGUAUGGCUGAUUAGUAUUGCAUUGUUUAUAUAUACCACACUUUCUUUAUCCAUUCAUCUGUUGAAGGGUACCUAGGUUGGUUCCAUAACUUAGCUACUGUGAAUUGAGCUGUUAUAAACACUGAUGUGGCUGUAAUAUGUUUAAGUCCUUUGGAUAUACACUAAGGAGUGAGAUAAUUGGGUCAAAUGGUGAUUCAAUUCCAAGUUUUCUGGAGAAUCUCCAUACUACUUUCCAUAGUGAUUGCACCAAUUUGUGGUCCACCAGCAAUGGAUCAGUAAACCUUUUUCCCCAUAUCCUUUCCAAUAUUUAUUGUUACUUGUAUUCUUGAUAGUGGAUAUUCUGACUGGAGUGAGAUGGAAUCUCAGUAUCAUUUUCAUUGUUAUUUCUCUAAUUGCUAGAGUGUUGAAUAUUUAUUUCUUCUUCUGCAGAGUGUCUGCUCAGUUCCUUUGCCCAUUUAUUUUUAUUUUUGUGUGUGUGUUAAGAUUUUUGAGUUCUUUAUAUAUCCUGGAGAUUAGUGCUCUGUCUGAGGUGCAGGUGGCUCCAUGUUCUUGAUUGUUUCCUUUGGUGUGCAGAAGCUUUUUAGUUUGAUACCAUCCAACUUAUUGAUUCUUGAUUUUACUUCUUGUGCUUUAGGAGUCCUGCUGAGGAAGUUGGUUCCUAGGCUCCUGGGAGCAUUGGGUCUAUGUUUUCUUCUAGUAGGCACAGUGUCUGGUCUAAUACCUAAGUCCUUGAUCCACUUUAAGUUGAGUUUUGUUCAGGGGUCUCACCUUCAUUCUGCUGCAUAUGGAUUUCCAGUUUUCCCAGCAUCACUUGUUGAAGAGGCUAUCUGUUCUCCAGUGUUUGCUUAUGGUGCCUUUGUCUAGUAUGAGAUAACUGUAUUUAUGUGUGUUUGUCUGUGUGUUUAAUUUUGUUCCAUUGGUCUUAAUGUGUGUUUUUUUUUGUGCCAAUACCAUGUCAUUUUUGUUAUGAUAGCUCUGUGGUAUAAUUUAAGGUCUGGUAUUGUGAUGCCUCCUGCUUCACUUUUCUCACAAAGGAUUGCUUUAGCUAUUCUGGGACUCCUUUUUUCCAAAAUGAAAGUAAUGGCUACCUUUUCUAUUUCUAUGAAGAACAUAAUUGGAAUCUUUGUAGGAAUUGCAUUAAAUCUGUAUAACACUUUUGGUAGUUUGGCCAUUUUGACAAUAUUGAUUAUGCCUAUCCAAGAACAUGGGAGAUCUUUUCAUCUUCUAAGGUCCUCUUUAAUUUCUUUCUUUAGUUUUCUGUAGUUUUAAUUAUAGAGGUCUUUCACCUUAUUUGUUAGACUCCCAAGUAUUUCAUUUUUUUGAGGCUGUUGUGAAUGGCAUAGAUUUCCUACUUUUUCUGUCAGCCAAUUAAUCAUUGGUGUGUAAGAAUUCAAUUGGUUUAUGGGUGUUAAAUUUAUAUCCUUCUUCUUGGACCUCCUGGAUGAACAGGAGGACUAUUCUCCCAUAGGUUGCAUUCGAGAUUGGAGAACAUGUAUCAAACAGAAAGAAGAGUGUAAGGCUUCCCUGCAGGAAGGGAGAGCUGGACACACCAUGGAUCUGGGACUGAUGCUGGUUCUUUGUCUAGAGACCUGCCCUGUCACAGCCUGUACAGCCAGUGGGACUUGGCUGGGGUGGACUGUAUUGUGGAGACAGGAAAUUAAACAGGAGCUAUGGGAAACAGAGGCCAGGCUUCUGCCUGCCCACAGUGCCAUGCCUUUCAGCCUGGGCACCCAGAUGGACCUAGAGGAUUUCCAUAAGUCUCCAGCUGCUGUUGCCUUUUGUGCAGCUACACAUGAGUGGCUUGAACCUGGAGCACUGUGCUCACUACCUGCAGGCCCAGCUUGAGGAUGCGAAGUGCAGCAGGAAGAGGAGGACUGGGGUGGGUAUACAAGGGUAAGGAGGGUACACAAGUGUAAAUGAAAAAGGUCAUGUUUUGGUCCCACUGGAUGGAGUCUAUAAGUCUAAUGUUGCACUGGGAAUAAGGAUAAGCCUUUUACCACUCAGGCAAUGUUGUCGGUCUGAGAAGAGAUCCUGUGUGGGCUUUGGGGCUAAAAACUUCUGGGCAGAUAGAGUAUUGACUGUUUUAGCAAAGCUCAGGGCAAGGCAGUCAUGUUGGAAUCAUUUCUCCUCUAGCUGCAGCCUCAGUUCCAGAACAAGCUCUUAAAGCACCUGCAGAGCUACAGCCUUCUCCAGGAGGUGCUCUGGUGCCCAGUCAAGUGGCAGCACCAGCAUCAGAUCCAGAGCUUGUGUUCAACCCAGUAUGUGUUUGGAAGCAAGAGGCAGUUCUAGAGCUGGCUUUAGUGUCAGCUUUGGAGUUCCAGGCAGCUCUUGCUCCACUGCUGAAUUUAGCUCUGUCCCCAACUCUAGAGCUGAAGUCCAUCCCAUUACCAGUUCUGUCAGUAGAGCCUUGCCAGCCUUAACUUGUGCCACAGAGAAAGGGCUGAGAAAGGGAAUGCGUUAACAUUCCCUCCAGACCUGAGGGCAGAGAGCUUCCUGCUAAUGGAUGAAAUGUCUUUGCAUGCCUGGGCUUGGUGGUUGAACUUCCUUCUGGUAUCUGCUGCCUAGACCUGCUGUUUCCUGCUGUAGAGCCCAUGUUCCUGUCUCAACUCCAUUUCACCACUGCAGUGAGUGAUGCUGACUUCUGGGUGGUGAUGAGUUCCAAAAGGAAAAGAUAUGUCUAUGAGCUCUGAACAGGGCAGAGUGGGAAGUUAGAACAGCAUCAUGGGCAGUAAAAUGAUCGUGCUCUGUAUGUCAGUGAGGCAGGUGUGCAUUUGUACAACAUAGAGGAAGAAGCAGGCAGAGGCAGGCAAGGCAACCAGAGUAGAGGCAGUAUUUUGAGGGAUAAAGGAGCUUAGAAGCAGGCCCUGUGCAAAAGUAAGGUUUCCUAUUUGGUGGUAGACUGAGGGGACAAUGUUGUCUCUGAUUGCAUCCUUGGCUAAUCCAAAGAGCCAAGAUAACUCAAAGUCUGGGUAUAGUUUCCAGAAGCCCCAUAGAGAGUGCUGUGAACCUGAAGUUUUGGGGAUUCUGCUGAUGUUGCCAUCUCCACAGUUCUUGAAGUCGAAUUCAGAGUCCUCAGCAAUGACGUCCAGCUCCACUGCAUCUUUGAGCAACACCUCUUCAGAAUUGUCCAGGCCUUUUCCCAUGGCCACCAAAAACAACAGUGUCCAGUAUUGCAGGUAUCUCCACUAGCAGUACCUCACUGCCCAUCUACAACAAGCAGCUGGGAGAUAGCUGCAUGGUUUACAUCAACCUAGAAGAGCAGAUUAUGACGGAAUACGAGAUAAUCCUGGUGAGCCUGACAGCAGGGGUUUCUCACAGGUGACCACACUGGAAAAGGCAGAAAACAUAUCCAACACCAUGGACUAGUCCUGCCAUCUUGAAUUGGAGCUUCUGGAAGGUUAGGAGGGAAUAAAGAAGGGAGAGGUCUGUGUUUAGGACUUGACCUGAGAGGAGGGAGAGCACCCGUAUGCCCAGCUCCAGCUGUGAGUGGGCCUGCAUGCUGUGGGGUUUGCCAGCCACAAGCGUAAGAGCACAUGCUGGAGACAGAUGAGGUCAGAGAAAUAUCUAGGGUGCAGUCUGCACUGUAUGGGCCACAGACACCUACGAGCCAUUCAGGAAGCCAGGAGUGUGAGUCUGCAUAUCCCUUGACUGGGUAGCUGAGAAAGUCUCUUUGUAGAAUUUAUAUGGAUGUGGAGUAUACACCCUAAUAUUUCAGGUGUCCAGAUGCAGAGGAGACAUGUUCAGUUCUCCCCCUGCUGGUUCAGGUAUCCCAUUACACCCCAGCCACCACUGAGCCUCUAGUCUCUCAUCUGCAUGGUCUUGUUCCUCAGUUUGUUUUUUGCCCUGGCUGUAAGGACCAAAGCCUGCAACAUUUCUGCCUGUGCCAAGUAAAGAAUCAGCCUGCAUCCUAGAGUAGAACUGGCAUAUAGUGGGUCACUGGUCUAUUACUCUGAUCUCAGUGGGCGUAGGAGGUAUCUGUGCACAGACUCUUGAGUCCUUUUACCUUGAGUGAAAAGUGCCUCCAGACAGGUCAAUGGCAAUUACAGGCAGACUAUUGUAUGAGGAUUGGGGUAGUAGCCCAUGGGAAGAACCAAUAUGAUUACAGGGAGCCCAGCCUUAGGUGGCAGGAUAACAAGAGGUGCCUUUGUGUUCACAGCUGAGGUGUCUCCUGAAUGUCUCUGACCACUGUUGUCUGGGCAUAACCUCCAGGCCACAUACCCUGAUGACCUGUUUUUCAUGCUGAUCCAGGUGACCUUCCAGGAUAGGGUUCCUGCUGAUAUGCAGGAUUUGGACCAACACUGCUUAAAAAGGAAUAUUUGGAAAAUUUGAGCUCCCAUAAAUCAUCUCAGAGCAUCAGAAUAAGUGGGACAACGAGAUGGUGGGGAGAAAUGAUCAACCAGCAGGCUCCAGACCAUUUGCAUCCCAAAAAAAGAAAGAAAGAGUGCCUUGGCCUAGAAAAAACAGCCAGAGUGUGUGGUGGGUCUUGUGCACAAAGGAAACUGCACUGAAGUGGGCCUAAAAUAUGCAGGUGCUCUGUGCUGUCCCAGGGGCUGCUGGACCUCCCUAACAUGUGUCCUCCCCUGCAUCAGUCACUCAUUGCAAAGCUGACAUCUAUAAUGGUCAAAGAAGAAAGCCUCCUUCAAGCAGCAGCAUGCACCAUGGUCACUGAUAAAGAUGAUCUCUGACUAAGAAGGGAAAAAAUGGGCUACAAAUGGAAUCACACUGAUGUGAAAAAAGAGGGGGAUGAGGAGGGAAAGGAGGCAAACAAGAGAGAGGAAUACAAAAAGCACAAGAGUAGGUUUAAUUAUAACUGGAAUAAGAAUACAAAUCAGAGGGAUAAUGAUGAGGAGGAAGAGGAAGACAUGAAAACAUUUCUGUUCCUGAGGGCAUACUCCUGCUCAGGUCAUCCUCCAUCCAUGCCCAACAUACUUCCAAUUUUUAUCACCUUCUAGGAGUGUAUUCAUCUAUAAAUGGAUUAAUCCACUGAUUAGGUCAAGGUACUCACCAUCAAACAAUUUCCUGAAAGCACAUGUUUCAGUAUUCCUGCAUUGUGAAGAAAGGUUCAGCACAUGGGCCACUGGGGGCAAAUUCUGACACAAACACUAGCAGUAGUUCUUUGGCAGGUCCAACCUGAACUGAGUCAUUCUGGUGUUCAAGGGGCGUUUUCUUUGAAAGGUGUUAGUUUGGUUUAGUUCUUGUGCGCGGAGGAAGUCUUUGAUAGUACUAUAGCUGGAUUGGAGGGCUCUACGGUCUGUGGAUGGCCUGACAUGGCAGAGGCUCUCAGAUGUUGAGUGUGUCCUGUGGUGUACUACUUGAAUGUCAACUACCACCUUUCUGCCACUCCCUCCCCAGAAUGGGAUCCCUGACAAUGGAAACAUCGUAUGUGCCAUAAACUCUCCAGUCAACCAUUACUUCAUCCUGGGAAAGUGAUCCACCAGCAAGUGGGCCAAGAUCAAGGAAGGAGGGUAAACACUGGUCUUAUUGGCUCUUUUUUUCUGGUACUACUGUACAUCCACAAAAGGAGGCAAGAAACCGCAGAUUCCUAUAUGUUCUAGAAGCCCUAUAGAGCAAACUGACAGGCUGGGGUGGCUUACAGUUUCUGGGUUUGCUGAUGUUGCCAUCCCCCACAGUUCUUGAAGUAUCCUCUGCAAUUACAGACAGCAUCACCACAGCCUGGAGGAGAACCUUUUCUCCAAAAGGAGGACACAGGCUUAUGGACAAUAAAUGCUUCAUGAAGCCUAGUGUCCUAGGAGUCACUACUAGCAGAUCCUCAAGGCCCUCUAAAACAAGCAUUUGGGAGACAGAUUCUUGGUUCAUAUUAGCUUAGAAGAGCAAAGCAGAAAAAACUGUAAGAGUGUCCUGAUAAGACCAGUAGAAGGGAGGUCUCCUUAUGCUUAACCCAGGGCAGGGAGCAAACACAUAUCAAAUGCCAUGGACUAUCCAUGCUCUUUAGAAUUGGAGCUCCUGAAUGGUCAGGAAGCAUAGAUGGAAACAAGGAAGAGAGAGGUCAGUGUUAAGGGAUAGACCUGAGAGGAGGGAGAGCACCAGUAUGUCUACCCCCAUGUCUGGGGGAGUCUAUGUUUGGUGGUAGCAGGCAGGCCAGAAGUCCAGGGGCAGGUAUUGGUGGGAGAUGAGAAUAGGAAAGGACCUAGGCCCAUCUACUGUAUUGGAUGGAGAAUGCAGGUGCACAUGGAGGACAUUGGUAUGAGGUUCUUUGUGUCCCUUGAAUAAGGAACUGGGAGGGUCUCUGCAGAAUUUAUAUGGAUAUGGUGUAAACUAAACCUCUAGGAUCCCAUUUUUAAUGAUCACCCUUGCUGAAUGAGGUGCUCCAAUACACCCCAGUCAGCACUGAGCCUCAGGAGGCCAGUUGCUCUCAUGGCUAUCAUUGAGCACUCACACACACGAUCUUGUCCUUGAGUCUGUUUUUGUCCUGGGAAUCAGGAUCAAAGCCUCUAGGGCUUCUGCCUGGGCUACACACAAAUGCAGCCUGCAUCUCAGAGUAGACUAGGGAUAUAUAGGAGGACACGGUCUAUUCCUUCCAUCUUGGUGGGAGAAGAGUGUGUCUGUACAUAGGCUGUGUGGUCCUUUUAUUCUGAGUGGAAUGUGACUCUACACAAACAAGGCAAUGGAAGCUACAAGCACAGUGUUGUAUGAGAAUUGGGCUCGUAGCCCAUCAGAAGACCCCACGAGAUUACCAGGAGACCACCCUCAGGCACUAGAGUGAUGACAUGGUAUCCUUUUAUUUAGAGCUGAGGUGACUCAAAUGACCUGACCACUGUCCUUCAGGUAGCCACUGUCCUUCGGGUAGGCCCAUUUCCUGAAGGCCUGUAUCCUAUGUUGAUCCAGGACCUGCCAUGAUAGGGCUUCUGUAAUCAUAUGCAGGACUCUGGACCAACACUUGCUAAAGGAGGAGAAUUCAGAAGACCAUGAGUAAGUGGUCUUACUCAUGGCAGGGAGCAAUGGUCUGGAAGUGGACUCAGGACAAAUUGUAGUUCAAAAUAGUAGUAUCUGACCUAGAAGAACACUCAGACAGGGUGUGGUGGGCGUUGUGCACAGGAAAACCUGCACUGAGGCUGGAAAAACGGUUUACAGGUUCUAUUAUCUUCCCCAGUGGCUAAUGCGACCCCCACCAUGUGUUUUUCCCUGGACCUGAACAGGCGUUCCAUGCUGGUAUCAGUGAGGAGUAAGGAGGAAAGCUUCCUCUCAGGGUCAGGAUAGGAAUGGUUUUAGAGGAAGAUGGGAACACAGGGACUAAGGAUGAAAUUGAUACUUUUCUGGCCUGAAGCACAAUAUUUAAAGCAUUGUGUAUGACAUUAAAACCACAGCCUGUGUGGAGUAUUGUCAGUGUUCCAGCAAGCAAAACCAGGAAUAAAUUUUUAAAAAGUACAGGCUGGGCAACAGCCUGAAUAGUCUAUCUUUGGACAAAUUCCCAAGUCCUCUGUGCCAGAGUCUGCUUCCCAAUAAGUGAUCAGAAUAGUGAGAUCAUUAUCCCUAACUAAAGUAAUCUGAGGGAUUUCUAAGCAUGUAUACCACAAAGCUGAUCUAUAAAUAAUACCAUUGCUGUUUUCUUUUUUGAGAGUAAAACAUCCAUAGCAGCCAUGAUCCCAACCUGUCUGCACUGAAACACUCCACCCCUAGGAAUUCUAGGGUAAAUUAUCUCAUAUAUUAAUCUACCAAGUUUGUUAGGUUAGUAGAGUCUUACAGAAGAGGAAGGCUGAAGCCUUGGUAGGCUAAGGAAAUCAUAGCAGAGAUACACACGUCCAGCCCAGCAUUGACUGAGAACAGGCUGUAGGCCAGAGGAAGGCUGCAGGAAACAGGUGUUCAGAGGAAGGACUAGCUGAGUGUCUGAAACCCACUGGGGGUUGUGGCAUCCCUGGGCCAUAGCAAAAUGCUGAAGUAAAGCAGUUACUCCCCUGGUCUUUGGAACCAUUGUUCUCAGUAGGGUAGCAUUUGUGAUAUGGCAUCCAUUCUAGGAAGCCUGGACCACAUGGAGGCAGGCACCACCAAUGGCAGGAGCAUGGCUAAAAUGUGGUAUGUGUAUUGGUUAGCCUUUUCUCACUGUGACAAUACUUGAGGAAAAUAACUUAGAAAAGAAAUCAUGGAUUUUGGCUCUGGGUCUCAUUGCUCUCCAUUUGAUUAUGCACUGAGUCUGUCUAUAAUGACAUAAGUGUAUGGCAGUGGAAAGUUACUCAGCCUCUUGCCAAUCAGGGCAUAGAUUAGGAGAGAGAGAAUGAGGGUGAUAGAGGGAGGGAAAGAAAGAUAGGAGGAUGAGGAAUACUACUAGGAGAAUGAAGAUUAAGGGGAGCCAACUGGGAAAAUAUACACCUACCAAAGGCCCUCUUCUGUGCAGGUCUUUCUUCAACCAUGCCCAAACUAGCUGCAGUUCAUACCACCUCCCAGUAUUGUAUUCAUCUUGAAUGAGUAUUUCAUGAUAACAUCAGAGCACUCACCAUCGAAUGCUUCCCCCAAAACUGACCUAUGAUCAUUGCUGAAUUGGGGACCAGUCACUCAACAUUUGAGCCUUUUGCAGGAGAUUCUGGAUGCAAACCCUUGCAGUGUCCUAUGGCAGAUACAAGAGGAACUGAAAUGUUCUGCCAAAGCAGCAGAUAUUAUGUCUGUUGAAGUCAUUUUUUCCUCAGGAAGAACUAUUGAGGACAUCUUUGUAGGUAUUGGAGCUGAAUUGGUGAACUCGCAGGUCUGUGGAUCAUGCCUUUCCUGACAGAGGCUCUCAGAUGUUGGGAGUGUCCUGUGGUGCAUCUGUUGAAAGCCACCUCAUACCUGUAUUCUCCUCUCUCCCCAGAGCUGAAGAUUCCCCAUGACGCAAAUAUCUUUUAUUCCCUGAAUCCUUGAGUCAAGUAUGACUUUGUACUGAGGAAGAAGAUCUUCCCAAGUAAGAAGAACAAUGAGUGGAUCCAGCCCAAACCUCCCCCUCAUGAUGCAACAGAGGCUCAAAAUCACCACAGGAACCUUAAAAGAACAUUUUGCAGCUCUCCGACUGGGUAGUACUGAAGCAUCACAUGAUCGUUGGCAUUUAUUUCUUUAAAUAUGUGCUCCAAAAUUUUGCAGUUACCCAUCUAUAAUUUGCCAGUAGAUCCUUGUUAUUUAUACCACUUAGUAAGACAUUUAUUAUUAUAGCAAAACUUUAUUGUUUAGUUUUAGCAUUUAAAAUAUAAAUGUUUUCCUUUGUAAUCUGUAAUAAUUUUAGCAGCAAUUUCUAGAGGAAACAAACAAAAAGGAAGAAAUGUUUCAUUUGAUCAACUAGAAAUUUUAUUAGGGUUAUGGCAGAUUAUAUAUCUGAGUAAAUUUUCCAGUGGGAGUAAUUAAAUACUGGAUUUCAUGGAACACAUACACAAACCCAUCCACCUACACCCCAUGCACUUAGAUUGAAUGAUUGAAUAGAUUCAAUGUCUAUGCUGAAAUGUUU